GAUGAACGCUGGCGGCGUGCCUAAUACAUGCAAGUCGAGCGAACAGACGAGGAGCUUGCUCCUCUGACGUUAGCGGCGGACGGGUGAGUAACACGUGGAUAACCUACCUAUAAGACUGGGAUAACUUCGGGAAACCGGAGCUAAUACCGGAUAAUAUAUUGAACCGCAUGGUUCAAUAGUGAAAGACGGUUUUGCUGUCACUUAUAGAUGGAUCCGCGCCGCAUUAGCUAGUUGGUAAGGUAACGGCUUACCAAGGCAACGAUGCGUAGCCGACCUGAGAGGGUGAUCGGCCACACUGGAUCUGAGACGCGGCCCAGACUCCUACGGGAGGCAGCAGUAGAGAAUCUUCCGCAAUGGGCGAACGCCUGACGGAGCAACGCCGCGUGAGUGAUGAAGGUCUUCGGAGCGUAAAACUCUGUUAUUAGAGAAGAACAAAUGUGUAAGUAACUAUGCACGUCUUGACGGUACCUAGUCAGAAAGCCACGGCUAACGACG
rnacentral:rRNA from 1 species